GACGAACGCUGGCGGCGUGCCUAAUACAUGCAAGUUGAGCGCUGAAGGUUGGUACUUGUACCAACUGGAUGAGCAGCGAACGGGUGAGUAACGCGUGGGGAAUCUGCCUUUGAGCGGGGGACAACAUUUGGAAACGAAUGCUAAUACCGCAUAAAAACUUUAAACACAAGUUUUAAGUUUGAAAGAUGCAAUUGCAUCACUCAAAGAUGAUCCCGCGUUGUAUUAGCUAGUUGGUGAGGUAAAGGCUCACCAAGGCGAUGAUACAUAGCCGACCUGAGAGGGUGAUCGGCCACAUUGGGACUGAGACACGGCCCAAACUCCUACGGGAGGCAGCAGUAGGGAAUCUUCGGCAAUGGACGAAAGUCUGACCGAGCAACGCCGCGUGAGUGAAGAAGGUGUUCGGAUCGUAAAACUCUGUUGGUAGAGAAGAACGUUGGUGAGAGUGGAAAGCUCAUCAAGUGACGGUAACUAACCAGAAAGGAACGGCUAACUACGU
rnacentral:rRNA from 1 species